rnacentral:tRNA from 1 species
GCCUGGGUAGCUCAGUGGUAGAGCAUCUAACUAGAGUUGGAGGGGUCCAGGGUUCGAUUCCCAGUCCAGCCU